GGGUUGUGAGGUUAAGCGACUAAGCGUACACGGUGGAUGCCCUGGCAGUCAGAGGCGAUGAAGGACGUGCUAAUCUGCGAUAAGCGUCGGUAAGGUGAUAUGAACCGUUAUAACCGGCGAUUUCCGAAUGGGGAAACCCAGUGUGAUUCGUCACACUAUCAUUAACUGAAUCCAUAGGUUAAUGAGGCGAACCGGGGGAACUGAAACAUCUAAGUACCCCGAGGAAAAGAAAUCAACCGAGAUUCCCCCAGUAGCGGCGAGCGAACGGGGAGCAGCCCAGAGCCUGAAUCAGUGUGUGUGUUAGUGGAAGCGUCUGGAAAGGCGCGCGAUACAGGGUGACAGCCCCGUACACAAAAAUGCACAUACUGUGAGCUCGAUGAGUAGGGCGGGACACGUGGUAUCCUGUCUGAAUAUGGGGGGACCAUCCUCCAAGGCUAAAUACUCCUGACUGACCGAUAGUGAACCAGUACCGUGAGGGAAAGGCGAAAAGAACCCCGGCGAGGGGAGUGAAAAAGAACCUGAAACCGUGUACGUACAAGCAGUGGGAGCACGCUUAGGCGUGUGACUGCGUACCUUUUGUAUAAUGGGUCAGCGACUUAUAUUCUGUAGCAAGGUUAACCGAAUAGGGGAGCCGAAGGGAAACCGAGUCUUAACUGGGCGUUAAGUUGCAGGGUAUAGACCCGAAACCCGGUGAUCUAGCCAUGGGCAGGUUGAAGGUUGGGUAACACUAACUGGAGGACCGAACCGACUAAUGUUGAAAAAUUAGCGGAUGACUUGUGGCUGGGGGUGAAAGGCCAAUCAAACCGGGAGAUAGCUGGUUCUCCCCGAAAGCUAUUUAGGUAGCGCCUCGUGAAUUCAUCUCCGGGGGUAGAGCACUGUUUCGGCAAGGGGGUCAUCCCGACUUACCAACCCGAUGCAAACUGCGAAUACCGGAGAAUGUUAUCACGGGAGACACACGGCGGGUGCUAACGUCCGUCGUGAAGAGGGAAACAACCCAGACCGCCAGCUAAGGUCCCAAAGUCAUGGUUAAGUGGGAAACGAUGUGGGAAGGCCCAGACAGCCAGGAUGUUGGCUUAGAAGCAGCCAUCAUUUAAAGAAAGCGUAAUAGCUCACUGGUCGAGUCGGCCUGCGCGGAAGAUGUAACGGGGCUAAACCAUGCACCGAAGCUGCGGCAGCGACGCUUAUGCGUUGUUGGGUAGGGGAGCGUUCUGUAAGCCUGUGAAGGUGUGCUGUGAGGCAUGCUGGAGGUAUCAGAAGUGCGAAUGCUGACAUAAGUAACGAUAAAGCGGGUGAAAAGCCCGCUCGCCGGAAGACCAAGGGUUCCUGUCCAACGUUAAUCGGGGCAGGGUGAGUCGACCCCUAAGGCGAGGCCGAAAGGCGUAGUCGAUGGGAAACAGGUUAAUAUUCCUGUACUUGGUGUUACUGCGAAGGGGGGACGGAGAAGGCUAUGUUGGCCGGGCGACGGUUGUCCCGGUUUAAGCGUGUAGGCUGGUUUUCCAGGCAAAUCCGGAAAAUCAAGGCUGAGGCGUGAUGACGAGGCACUACGGUGCUGAAGCAACAAAUGCCCUGCUUCCAGGAAAAGCCUCUAAGCAUCAGGUAACAUCAAAUCGUACCCCAAACCGACACAGGUGGUCAGGUAGAGAAUACCAAGGCGCUUGAGAGAACUCGGGUGAAGGAACUAGGCAAAAUGGUGCCGUAACUUCGGGAGAAGGCACGCUGAUAUGUAGGUGAAGUCCCUCGCGGAUGGAGCUGAAAUCAGUCGAAGAUACCAGCUGGCUGCAACUGUUUAUUAAAAACACAGCACUGUGCAAACACGAAAGUGGACGUAUACGGUGUGACGCCUGCCCGGUGCCGGAAGGUUAAUUGAUGGGGUCAGCGCAAGCGAAGCUCUUGAUCGAAGCCCCGGUAAACGGCGGCCGUAACUAUAACGGUCCUAAGGUAGCGAAAUUCCUUGUCGGGUAAGUUCCGACCUGCACGAAUGGCGUAAUGAUGGCCAGGCUGUCUCCACCCGAGACUCAGUGAAAUUGAACUCGCUGUGAAGAUGCAGUGUACCCGCGGCAAGACGGAAAGACCCCGUGAACCUUUACUAUAGCUUGACACUGAACAUUGAGCCUUGAUGUGUAGGAUAGGUGGGAGGCUUUGAAGUGUGGACGCCAGUCUGCAUGGAGCCGACCUUGAAAUACCACCCUUUAAUGUUUGAUGUUCUAACGUUGACCCGUAAUCCGGGUUGCGGACAGUGUCUGGUGGGUAGUUUGACUGGGGCGGUCUCCUCCUAAAGAGUAACGGAGGAGCACGAAGGUUGGCUAAUCCUGGUCGGACAUCAGGAGGUUAGUGCAAUGGCAUAAGCCAGCUUGACUGCGAGCGUGACGGCGCGAGCAGGUGCGAAAGCAGGUCAUAGUGAUCCGGUGGUUCUGAAUGGAAGGGCCAUCGCUCAACGGAUAAAAGGUACUCCGGGGAUAACAGGCUGAUACCGCCCAAGAGUUCAUAUCGACGGCGGUGUUUGGCACCUCGAUGUCGGCUCAUCACAUCCUGGGGCUGAAGUAGGUCCCAAGGGUAUGGCUGUUCGCCAUUUAAAGUGGUACGCGAGCUGGGUUUAGAACGUCGUGAGACAGUUCGGUCCCUAUCUGCCGUGGGCGCUGGAGAACUGAGGGGGGCUGCUCCUAGUACGAGAGGACCGGAGUGGACGCAUCACUGGUGUUCGGGUUGUCAUGCCAAUGGCACUGCCCGGUAGCUAAAUGCGGAAGAGAUAAGUGCUGAAAGCAUCUAAGCACGAAACUUGCCCCGAGAUGAGUUCUCCCUGACUCCUUGAGAGUCCUGAAGGAACGUUGAAGACGACGACGUUGAUAGGCCGGGUGUGUAAGCGCAGCGAUGCGUUGAGCUAACCGGUACUAAUGAACCGUGAGGCUUAACCUUACAACGCCGAAG
rnacentral:rRNA from 1 species